GACGAACGCUGGCGGCGUGCCUAAUACAUGCAAGUCGAACGCAGUGGGGACGGGUGAGUAACACGUGGGUAACCUGCCAUAAGAGUGGAUAAAACUUGGAAACAGGUGCUAAACAGAUACUGCUGGAUGGACCCGCGGUGCAUUAGAUAGUUGGUGAGGUAACGGCUCACCAAGGCAACGAUGCAUAGCUGACCUGCGAGGGUGAUCGGCCACACUGGGACUGAGACACGGCCCAGACUCCUACGGGAGGCAGCAGUAGGGAAUCUUCGGCAAUGGACGAAAGUCUGACCGAGCAACGCCGCGUUAGUGAAGAAGGUUUUCGGAUCGUAAAACUCUGUUGUUAGAGAAGCGGUAUCUAACCAGAAAGCCACGGCUAACUACGUGCCAGCAGCCGCGGUAAUUC
rnacentral:rRNA from 1 species